rnacentral:rRNA from 1 species
AUCAACUUUCGAUGGUAGGAUAGAGGCCUACCAUGGUGGUAACGGGUAACGGGGUGUUAGGGCACGACACCGGAGAGGGAGCCUGAGAAACGGCUACCACAUCCAAGGAUGGCAGCAGGCGCGCAAAUUACCCAAUCCCGACACGGGGAGGUAGUGACAAUAAAUAACAAUACGGGGUCCUUUCGGGUUUCGUAAUUGGAAUGAGUACAAUUUAAAUCUCUUAACGAGGAACAAUUGGAGGGCAAGUCUGGUGCCAGCAGCCGCGGUAAUUCCAGCUCCAAUAGCGUAUAUUAAAGUUGUUGCAGUUAAAAAGCUCGUAGUUGAAUUUCGGGAUUAGUACGUCGGUCGUGCCUUCGGUACGUACUGGUGUUACUGAUUCCUACCUUCUGACGAACCAUCAUGUCAUUAAUUUGGUGUGGCGGGGAAUCAGGACUGUUACUUUGAAAAAAUUAGAGUGUUUAAAGCAGGCUCGCGCUUGAAUACAUUAGCAUGGAAUAAUGAAAUAGGACGUUGACCCUAUUUUGUUGGUUUCUAGGAUUGACGUAAUGAUUAAUAGGGAUAGUUGGGGGCAUUAGUAUUCAAUUGUCAGAGGUGAAAUUCUUGGAUUUAUUGAAGACUAACUACUGCGAAAGCAUUUGCCAAGGAUGUUUUCAUUAAUCAAGAACGAAAGUUAGGGGAUCGAAGACGAUCAGAUACCGUCGUAGUCUUAACCAUAAACUAUGCCGACUAGGGAUCGGAUGAUGUUAUUUUUAAUGACUCAUUCGGCGCCUUACGGGAAACCAAAGUGUUUGGGUUC